UACAGAGACUGCAAGCGUUAUUCGGAUUCACUGGGCUUAAAGGGUGCGCAGGCGGUCGGGUGUGUCAGAUGUGAAAUCCCGAGGCUCAACCUCGGAACUGCGUCUGAAACUACUCGACUAGAGUACUGGAGAGGGUAACGGAAUUCACGGUGUAGCAGUGAAAUGCGUAGAUAUCGUGAGGAACACCAGAGGCGAAGGCGGUUACCUGGACAGUUACUGACGCUCAGGCACGAAAGCAUGGGGAGCAAAAGGG
rnacentral:rRNA from 1 species